rnacentral:rRNA from 1 species
UGGUGGAGUGAUUUGUCUGGUUAAUUCCGUUAACGAACGAGACCGCAACCUGCUAAAUAGCGGCGUUCAGCGUCUUAACGAGUGAAGCCGAUGAUGUGGUUUCCCGCUCUCGCAAGGGAGUGGGCCCUCGUCGGGGGAUCUUUGAUGCCUGGAUAGCGGCUUCUUAGAGGGACUAUUGGGGUUACCCAUUGGAAGUGCGGCAAUAACA